AACCUGCCCAUAAGACUGGGAUAACUCCGGGAAACCGGGGCUAAUACCGGAUAACAUUUUGAACUGCAUGGUUCGAAAUUGAAAGGCGGCUUCGGCUGUCACUUAUGGAUGGACCCGCGUCGCAUUAGCUAGUUGGUGAGGUAACGGCUCACCAAGGCAACGAUGCGUAGCCGACCUGAGAGGGUGAUCGGCCACACUGGGACUGAGACACGGCCCAGACUCCUACGGGAGGCAGCAGUAGGGAAUCUUCCGCAAUGGACGAAAGUCUGACGGAGCAACGCCGCGUGAGUGAUGAAGGCUUUCGGGUCGUAAAACUCUGUUGUUAGGGAAGAACAAGUGCUAGUUGAAUAAGCUGGCACCUUGACGGUACCUAACCAGAAAGCCACGGCUAACUACGUGCCAGCAGCCGCGGUAAUACGUAGGUGGCAAGCGUUAUCCGGAAUUAUUGGGCGUAAAGCGCGCGCAGGUGGUUUCUUAAGUCUGAUGUGAAAGCCCACGGCUCAACCGUGGAGGGUCAUUGGAAACUGGGAGACUUGAGUGCAGAAGAGGAAAGUGGAAUUCCAUGUGUAGCGGUGAA
rnacentral:rRNA from 2 species